GAUGAACGCUGGCGGCGUGCCUAAUACAUGCAAGUCGAGCGAACAGACGAGGAGCUUGCUCCUCUGACGUUAGCGGCGGACGGGUGAGUAACACGUGGAUAACCUACCUAUAAGACUGGGAUAACUUCGGGAAACCGGAGCUAAUACCGGAUAAUAUAUUGAACCGCAUGGUUCAAUAGUGAAAGACGGUUUUGCUGUCACUUAUAGAUGGAUCCGCGCCGCAUUAGCUAGUUGGUAAGGUAACGGCUUACCAAGGCAACGAUGCGUAGCCGACCUGAGAGGGUGAUCGGCCACACUGGAACUGAGACACGGUCCAGACUCCUACGGGAGGCAGCAGUAGGGAAUCUUCCGCAGUGGGCGAAAGCCUGACGGAGCAACGCCGCGUGAGUGAUGAAGGUCUUCGGAUCGUAAAACUCUGUUAUUAGGGAAGAACAAAUGCGUAAGUAACUAUGCACGUCUUGACGGUACCUAAUCAGAAAGCCACGGCUAACUACGUG
rnacentral:rRNA from 1 species